UACGUGGGGUGCAAGCGUUGUUCGGAAUUACUGGGCGUAAAGCGCGUGUAGGCGGUCGAACGGGUCGGAUGUGAAAUCCCUCGGCUUAACCGAGGAACUGCGUCCGAAACUAUUCGACUCGAGUACGGGAGAGGAGGAUGGAAUUCCCAGUGUAGAGGUGAAAUUCGUAGAUAUUGGGAGGAACACCGGUGGCGAAAGCGGUUCUCUAGACCGUAACUGACGCUGAGACGCGAAAGCGUGGGGAGCAAACAGG
rnacentral:rRNA from 1 species